rnacentral:rRNA from 1 species
AGGAAGUAAAAGUCGUAACAAGGUCUCCGUUGGUGAACCAGCGGAGGGAUCAUUACUGAGUUUACGCUCUACAACCCUUUGUGAACAUACCUAUAACUGUUGCUUCGGCGGGUAGGGUCUCCGCGACCCUCCCGGCCUCCCGCCUCCGGGCGGGUCGGCGCCCGCCGGAGGAUAACCAAACUCUGAUUUAACGACGUUUCUUCUGAGUGGUACAAGCAAAUAAUCAAAACUUUUAACAACGGAUCUCUUGGUUCUGGCAUCGAUGAAGAACGCAGCGAAAUGCGAUAAGUAAUGUGAAUUGCAGAAUUCAGUGAAUCAUCGAAUCUUUGAACGCACAUUGCGCCCGCCAGCAUUCUGGCGGGCAUGCCUGUUCGAGCGUCAUUUCAACCCUCAAGCUCUGCUUGGUGUUGGGGCCCUACAGCCGAUGUAGGCCCUCAAAGGUAGUGGCGGACCCUCCCGGAGCCUCCUUUGCGUAGUAACUUUACGUCUCGCACUGGGAUCCGGAGGGACUCUUGCCGUAAAACCCCCCAAUUUUCCAAAGGUUGACCUCGGAUCAGGUAGGAAUACCCGCUGAACUUAAGCAUAUCA